rnacentral:rRNA from 1 species
AUGGGCGCGUACAAGUUCGUGUCGGAGCUAUGCAGGAGGAAGCAGUCGGACGUGAUGAGGUUCGUGCAGCGCAGGGCUCUCGGCUCCCAGGCCAAGCAGCUUGGCAAGCCUAUUGAGGAGACCAAGGAAGAUGUGUACCCGAGGACCCACAAGUCGCCUGCCAAGAUACGCAUAAUUUUGAAAUCUUUCAAUAACCAGAAGAACAAUCUGAAGGAGCUUGCGCCAUACAUGCAUAAGGUCGGGCUGCCUGAAUCGCGGUCCUUAUACACCGUGCUGCGAUCACCUCAUAUUGAUAAGAAAUCCAGGGAGCAAUUCUCAACGCAUGUGAAGAAAGUGUUUGUGGAGAAAACAGCGGAGACGCAUGAACUGGCCAAGAAGUUCUUCUGGUUGAAACGGCUUCGUAUGUUGGGGGCUCAGUACGAAGUCGUUAUUAAUUUCAAGACACGCUUGGGUAAAAAGAUUGGCUGCAGCAAAGGUGGUGACCUGCUUUGA